AGCGGAAUUUCCGCAAACGAAUUGUGAAACUGAAAAAGUGGAAGAAACAAAAGUCAUACACUUAUGACUCACUUUUCGGAGAAGGUCGACGUACUAGGUGUAAAGUUGUAUCAGGAUUCCUAUGAUGAAGAGAAAUUUACAACUGAAGUUUACUGUGAGGACAAAAAUUGAAAGCAACAAAGGGAGAGGCGGGGUUUCUUGGAAAAGUACACAAACAGGAUCUAACCGUCAAGUCUUUUAUCAAUAGGGAAUGGGACGUACUACGUCAUUGUUUGGACCCGCCUCCAUGCUGGCAAUAUAAUUCACUUCCGGGCCGGCAGAGUCAAUGCGGAUUGUAACGUGUGGUAGUGCUAAGCUAACUCUUUCGGUGUUUUAGAAAGAAAAUAUGGGUGCUUAUUGUUGCGUUACCGGGUGCAACAGCGUCUCCUACGACAAAAAAAGGGGUUAGGAAAAAUGGACUCACUUUUCACCGUUUUCCUGAAUGGAGGACCAAAUAUCAGAUCACGAAGGUACGACGGAUGGCUGGAUUGCAGCGGUUCGUCGGAAAAGCAUUUCUUAUGAUCAUAUUUCUGCUGGAAUGAGAGUGUAUUCCCCUCAUCUCUACUCUUGAAAACCUGCAUAUGAAAUGCUGACAACACAUCCCGAUUGGUCACCAUAUCUCUUCUUGGGUUAUUCUGAGGUCAAGCGCACCACAUCGGAGCGUUAUGAGAGGUUGGAAAGGCGAAGAGUGCACGCUGAAACUUCAGUUUGCUCUGCUCUUACAAACACAAUCCCAAGUGUUGUUAUGAAAAGUCAAUAAAAUAUGAAUACCAAAA